rnacentral:rRNA from 1 species
AGAGUUUGAUUCUGGCUCAGAUUGAACGCUGGCGGAAUGCUUUACACAUGCAAGUCGAACGGCAGCACGGGUGCUUGCACCUGGUGGCGAGUGGCGAACGGGUGAGUAAUGCGUCGGAACGUACCGAGUAAUGGGGGAUAACGCGGCGAAAGUCGCGCUAAUACCGCAUACGCCCUGAGGGGGAAAGUGGGGGAUCGCAAGACCUCACGUUAUUCGAGCGGCCGACGUCUGAUUAGCUAGUUGGUGGGGUAAAGGCCUACCAAGGCGACGAUCAGUAGCGGGUCUGAGAGGAUGAUCCGUCACACUGGGACUGAGACACGGCCCAGACUCCUACGGGAGGCAGCAGUGGGGAAUUUUGGACAAUGGGGGCAACCCUGAUCCAGCCAUUCCGCGUGAGUGAAGAAGGCCUUCGGGUUGUAAAGCUCUUUCAGCUGGAACGAAACGGUACGCUCUAACAUAGCGUGCUAAUGACGGUACCGGCAGAAGAAGCACCGGCUAACUACGUGCCAGCAGCCGCGGUAAUACGUAGGGUGCGAGCGUUAAUCGGAAUUACUGGGCGUAAAGCGUGCGCAGGCGGAUUGUUAAGCAAGACGUGAAAGCCCCGGGCUUAACCUGGGAAUGGCGUUUUGAACUGGCAGUCUAGAGUGCGUCAGAGGGGGGGUGGAAUUCCACGUGUAGCAGUGAAAUGCGUAGAGAUGUGGAGGAACACCAAUGGCGAAGGCAGCCCCCUGGGAUGACACUGACGCUCAUGUACGAAAGCGUGGGUAGCAAACAGGAUUAGAUACCCUGGUAGUCCACGCCCUAAACGAUGUCAACUGGUUGUUGGGGGGAGUGAAAUCCCUUAGUAACGAAGCUAACGCGUGAAGUUGACCGCCUGGGGGAGUACGGUCGCAAGAUUAAAACUCAAAUGAAUUGACGG